rnacentral:rRNA from 1 species
UACGGGGGGGGCAAGCGUUGUUCGGAAUUACUGGGCGUAAAGGGCUCGUAGGCGGCCAACUAAGUCAGACGUGAAAUCCCUCGGCUUAACCGGGGAACUGCGUCUGAUACUGGAUGGCUUGAGAUUGGGAGAGGGAUGCGGAAUUCCAGGUGUAGCGGUGAAAUGACGUAGAUAUCGGGAGGAACACCUGUGGCGAAAGCGGCGCACUGGACCAUAACUGACGCUGGAGGCGACGAAAGCUAGGGGAGCAAACAGG